rnacentral:rRNA from 1 species
UACGGAGGAUGCAAGCGUUAUCCGGAAUGAUUGGGCGUAAAGCGUCCGCAGGUGGCUGUGUAAGUCUGCUGUUAAAGAGUGAGGCUCAACCUCAUAAAGGCAGUGGAAACUACAUGGCUAGAGUACGUUCGGGGCAGAGGGAAUUCCUGGUGUAGCGGUGAAAUGCGUGGAGAUCAGGAAGAACACCGGUGGCGAAGGCGCUCUGCUAGGCCGUAACUGACACUGAGGGACGAAAGCUAGGGGAGCGAAUGGG